rnacentral:rRNA from 1 species
AGCAGCCGCGGUAAUUCCAGCUCCAAUAGCGUAUAUUAAAGUUGUUGCAGUUAAAAAGCUCGUAGUUGAAUUUCGGGAUCGAAUUGUUGGUCGUGCUUCGGUACGCACUGGCAUUAUCGGUUCCUACCUUCUGAAGAACCGCGAUGUCAUUAAUUUGGUGUCGUGGGGAAUCAGGACUGUUACUUUGAAAAAUUAGAGUGUUUAAAGCAGGCUUACGCUUGAAUACAUUAGCAUGGAAUAAUGAAAUAGGACGUUUGAUUCUAUUUUGUUGGUUUCUAGGAUCGACGUAAUGAUUAAUAGGGAUAGUUGGGGGCAUUAGUAUUCAAUUGUCAGAGGUGAAAUUCUUGGAUUUAUUGAAGACUAACUACUGCGAAAGCAUUUGCCAAGGAUGUUUUCAUUAAUCAAGAACGAAAGUUAGGGGAUCGAAGACGAUCAGAUACCGUCGUAGUC